AAUUUUCACGACAGAGUAACCGUAGUAGAGCAACAGGAUGGAAGGAGCCUACGUUCCUGAAAUUGUUUGUGAAAUUGCGACACCAAGCUUCUUGUCUAUUGUAGACUUUUACACUAGGGGAUUCCUUUUUCCUUCUUUAAUUUCUUUUGCAGAUCAGCAUAUUCUUGAUACAUUUAGUGCAGAAGUCUCAACUCACUUCAAAUUCAGACUUUAUUUUUCGUCUUCUCUGUUAUAUAUGUCUCAACAGCUGGGCCUGGUGGUGUAAGCAGAACCAAGAGGAUUGAUCAAAAUUCAAGCCUCUGCGGCAUGGUGAAUCAACAGCCUGGCAGUGAGGAAUUGGCCCGUUAAACACUCUUUCUUCUUCCCACGAGCACAUCAACAGGUGAACUAUCUGAGCUUCAUAAGUUAUAUACUUUACUGCAUUUGAUGAAGUCAGAGAGGCCCGGAUUCACAAUGACAAUUCCCUAAGUACCAGGCAUCUGUGUGUAAGUUGUGCAUCUCUGAGGUUGCCUAUGUCUCCUGCAUAGAGAAGCUGCUUUGAUGAGGCGUGAGAUCUCUACUCAUCUGAGUUGGUGGCUGUGGGUGUGUGUCCAAGUGACUCACAAAUGUUUACUGCUACUGUUUGAGGAGGUUCCCUCCCAGACUUUGAAGGUAAGAGCCUAUUGCUGAGGAUAACCCGUACUUUACACACAGGGCCAAGAAAUCCCAGUUAAAACUGACCGGGAAGCCUCCUCCCUAAAGACAGGUUCUCAUAGUAUCAGAAGUUGCUACAUAACCUGCCAAGGGAGGAAAGCAAUUAUAGUCAUAUCCAACUGUAAAACCUACAAAGCACAGCAAUUACCAACAUGGCAAUGCUGUCCCAAUGGUGCAGUCGUGGCAUUGUAUUUUGAGGGUACC
ensembl:lncRNA